GCCGGGCAUGGUGGCGCAUGCCUGUAGUCCCAGCUACUUGGGAGGCUGAGGCAGAAGUAUCGCUUGAACCCAGGAGGUGGAGGUUGGAGUGAGCACAGAUCAUGCCACUGCACUCCAGCCUGGGUGACACAGCGAGACUCCAUCUUAA
ensembl:misc_RNA Metazoa_SRP Metazoan signal recognition particle RNA